GGCAGAGUCUGAAGGAUAUAUGUCUCCAAGCAUACAGAGAGAGUCGAGGAGAAAAAUACAGCUGAACAGGGAAAAAAUAUUGAUGAAGGAAAAUGUAAAACUAAACCAGCGAGUGAGGAGGACGGACGUGUGAGGAGCGGACAGCGGUUCCAGGGCAGCGGGUACUGGACGUCGGCGGUUCAGAUGGUGGCCGAAGGCUCGGAAGGUCAUUGCGGAUGGAACCAGAGGCUCACAAACAAGAGAAAACGUUCAGAUGCUGGAAAUCCAAGCAACACACACAAAAUGCUGGAGGAACUCAGCAGGCCAGGCAGCGUCUGUGGAAAAGAAUAUCGACGAUGUUUCAGGCCAAGAGCCAUCUUCAGAAUGGUGACCCUUCAUCUGCCCAAGACGUUGACUCUACUCUUUUCUAUAGAUGCUGCCUGGCUUGCUGAGUUCUUUCAGCAUUUUCUGUGUGUUGCUCUCUCUCUCUGUAGUCACUGUAUUACCCUCUCUGCCUUAAGAAGAUGUUUGCAGGUUCUCUCUUUAUCUCUCCCACAUCUCCUGGCCUUAUUCUCCAUGACCUGCCAUGGAUCUCUUCUCCCAAUUAUUAUCUGCUGGAGCCAUGCCUUCAACCACCACCAGACCAGAGAACUUAGAGUGUAGAACAUGACAGCAAAUGAACAGGCUCUUUGGCCCACAAUGUUGUGCAGAACUAGAUAAAUUAGGAACCAAAUGCCCAACUGAACUACUUGCUUCUGCCUACACAAUGUCAAUAUCCCGCCAUUCUCUGCACAGUCACGUGCAUGUCUAAGAGCUUCUUGAGCUCCAUUUCCUAUCUACCUCCAUCAUCACACCAGCUACUCACCAUUUCCUCUGUCAAAAUUUGCCCUACAUGUCUCCUUUUCCCCUCUCUCCUUAUAGCACAUGGUCUCUUAGCCAGGCAGCAUGCUGGUAAGCCUCUUCUGCACCCUCUCCAAAGCCUCCACAUCCUUCUUAUAAUGAGGUGACCAAAACUCCAGAGCAGCCAUAUCAGAAGUUUAUACGGCUGCAACAUAAUUUCUCCGCUCUUGAAAGCAAAUCCAUUGGCUAAUGAAGGCAGGCAUGCCUUCAAUUACUCCUGGGGCGAGUGUGGAGGAAUCUAAUGUGGUUAAAGCGAAGAUGCAAACUCAACAUGAUGUAUUCAUAAAUUGAUAAUA